GGCCUCUUUUCGUGUUCGGGCCUAGCUGCUGCUAAACCCUGAUGACGGAGGUCACUGGUUCAAGUCCGGUGAGGCCCACCA
rnacentral:tRNA from 2 species